GAUGAACGCUGGCGGCGUGCCUAAUACAUGCAAGUCGAGCGAACAGACGAGGAGCUUGCUCCUCUGACGUUAGCGGCGGACGGGUGAGUAACACGUGGAUAACCUACCUAUAAGACUGGGAUAACUUCGGGAAACCGGGGCUAAUACCGGAUAACAUGUUGAACCGCAUGGUUCAACAGUGAAAGACGGUCUUGCUGUCACUUAUAGAUGGAUCCGCGCCGCAUUAGCUAGUUGGUAAGGUAACGGCUUACCAAGGCAACGAUGCGUAGCCGACCUGAGAGGGGGAUCGGCCACACUGGAACUGAGGCACGGUCCAGACUCCUACGGGAGGCAGCAGUAGGGAAGCUUCCGCAAUGGGCGAAAGCCUGACGGAGCAACGCCGCGUGAGUGAAGAAGGUCUUCGGAUCGUAAAACUCUGUUAUUAGGGAAGAACAAAUGUGUAAGUAACUAUGCACGGCUUGACGGUACCUAAUCAGAAAGCCACGGCUAACUACGUG
rnacentral:rRNA from 1 species